GAUGGACAGUGUGGGUCAAAGGAGGCUGACCAUUCAUUCUGCUGCCUUGCUGCAUAAUCCAAGAAGCUUAUGUAAGAAGAACAGCAAAGACUUUAAGCUGCCAACAACAGUUUGGAGUAUGGAGAAAGAAGAGAAUUUAAAAAUAUCCUGUUCUACAUGGCUUGCAGAGUUACUGUUCAUGCCAAGUUCGUUGAGGCAAAUGGUAGAAGUUACUCACACAGUGGAAGCUGUGCAGUAGUUUUAUUAUUUCAUUCACUGUUUGAGACAGCCUGUCUCAAAAAGAAGCUCAUCCAGCUUCUCAGAAGAAAAGUUUCAUCACAUCCAAAUUUUCUAAUAUAACUGAAGGAAAGAAACAAACAACAACUACAAACAAACAAACAAAAGACCUUUUUUUCAUUUCAGUCCAUUUUAAAAAGACAUUUCCUCAGCAAUUUCUAUAAAAAUAAGUAUGGAUAAUUCUGAUAAAAGUAAUUACCUUUUCACUAAUAAUGCAUUUAUUUUUAUUAUUUUGAGUGCUGCUCCAAAAGUAAUGUCUCCUAUUUUAUGAUAUUGGCCCACAACUUCGGAAAGAGAUGCUGGUGGCACAGCUAUAGAGGCUGAACCUCCCACCAACAUCCCACUACACGCUGUUACUGUGUGACAGAUGGCAGCAGAGGAGCAGUCUGACAGAAUGGAGUCUGACAUGGAAGUGCAGUGAGAUCAGUGAAGUGAUGGGUGGUGCCUUUCAGUAGUGGUGAUGUGAAAGACAAGCCAUGUUCUGGUUGGCCAUGCACAGCUCUCACUCCAUGGUAUGAACUGUCUUGAUCAGCUCAUCGAUGUGAAUUGGUGUAUUAUGACCAAGGAACUGUGUAUAGAGCUGAAUAUUGGCUUCAGUGUUUUCGGGAAAAUGGUGGCAGUGUUGGAAUAUUGCAAAGUUUGUGCCAGAUGAGUCCCACAAAUGCUCACACAGGAACAGAAGGAACCCUGUAUACACAUUUUUUUCAGGACCCAUUGAGCAAGUAUAAGAAGAUGAAAAUGACAAUUUCCUGGAUUAUAUCAUGACUGGUGACAAGAAAUUAAGCCACCACAAUGAGCCGAAUUCAAAAGAGCAGUUCAUGGAGUGGUGACGUGAAUUCCCCACUGAAGAAAAAGUUCAAGGCACAGACCUCAGUGGGUAAAGUGAUGUACAAGGUCUUUUGGGGAUAGGAAAGGUUGAUUCUUCUGGAUUUCCUGGAUCCUGGACAAACUAUCAGCUCAGAAAAUUGCACUGUGACACUGACUAAAUUGCAGAAUCAUGCUGGAGAAGUAGACAGCUGUUCUUUUGCAACACAAGGCCCCAUAACAGUUUGAAGACUGUGGAGCACUUUGCAAGCCCUGGCUGGAAUGUCCUACCACAUCCAACAUACAGUCUGGAUAUCGUGCCUUCUGACUUCCAUCUGUUUGGGAUGAUCAAAGACAGACACCCUGGACAACAUUUUCCAAGCAGUAGUGCUGCCAUAGCAGCUGUGAAACAGCAGGUCACCUGCAGUGGUGCAGAGUUGAUUUUCGAGCACAGCAUGACAGUUUUCAUUCAUUGCUGGAAACAUAUACAGCUAAUGGUAGCAAUUAUGCUGAAAAAUAAUGUCUUGUAGCUGAGAUUUUGCUCUGUCAAUUAAUGUUAUUGCGUAUCUUUUAUCCUUUCUCCUCUUCCUCAUGUGAGAAAGAUCUAAAGCCUGGACAAUCCCUUGAUCUUAGAUUCAAUGAUCUAUGACAUUUUUGAUAUAGGUAUUUUCUUCUGUCUAUGCAUAAUGGAGUAGUCUCGUGAAAAAUCUGAUUCGUGCAGAAAAUCUGGAUUACAGGUGUGCUUUCACUCUCGUGGUUUCCUGAAAGAAUGAGAUCAAGUUCCUAUGAGUGCUCAUACUGGAGAGAAAAUAUCAGUCUUAGAGGUACGUCUACCAACCUAGAUACAGUGGUUUUGUGUUCUAUGCUGUCACUUGCCAUUUAUUUGUAUGUGUGGAAAGACAGGGAGGCAUAGUGACCAGGCAGAUAAUAUAGGGCAAAAUACGUAAUUAUUGCUCUGAUCUGUACCCAGUGCAGUAGUUCCUCUGGGAUGCAGGGAGGUCACUGAGAUAAUCUUCGGGCUGAUCUAACAGUCAAAAUCUAUUUGAUAGACUGACUGAAUGUCUUUUUUAGAGAGGGGAAAGAAGUGUGUGAGUUAGUUCUCCUGUAGAAGUAAGAACAAAAGGCAGGAAGCUGCAGAACAGGCAGGAAAGAGGGCAAAAGCAUCACUUGAUCAGAAAACAGAAAUGCAGUUGUCUUACAAAUAAAAUUUUUACAAAAAGUGCAAAUGAAGGAAAUCACCUUAGAAAGUUUAGAGAUGGAAAAUAUUAAAGUAAUGUUUGUGGUCUUACCAGAGGCAAAUACUAAAGGUGAAAAUAAAGAUGAAAAGUGAACAAUAUAAAUAAAGUCCUGGAUAACAAUCACAGUAGAAGUAAGAAGUACUGCAGAUAUGAGACUGUCAAGCUGUACAUCUUGGAAAGGGCAAAGCGUAGGGGUGGAGGUCAACAGAGGAAAGGAAUUUCAUCUGAAAGAUCAUAGCACAAGAUUAGUUCCAAGCAGAGAUUAUGUUGAAAGUACAUCAUGGCAGUAAGAUGUGAGAACUGUUGGACUAUUUUUGGGCAAAUUAUAACAAAAGCAAUAAGAAAUGAGAGGCAGCUGCUUGAAUUGCUAGCUGAUUUGAUGAUUCAAGCUAGCAGUGGUGAGUCCAGGAGAUAAGAAAUACAAAUAAAGGGGGACUGAGGAGAUAAAAUCAAGUGACAGUAUCCAUAGAGGAAUACAAUUAAAAUGAUUAAAAUUCAGCUUUUACAAGAUGAUGUUGUCUGAUUGCUCUUACAGUAAAUAUUUUCAUCGAAAUCACUUACUUACAGUAACAGAGGCUCACAGUAUCUUAUGCUUGCUUCACAGAUAUACAACUAAGACAAAGUUGACAGAGCAGUAUGGGAUUAGAGUGGAUGGAGUAAAGUGGAGGAUGGCUAUCCUGGAAGCCUGGAUUCUUUUAGAAAAGUUAAUUUGUUUGUUUGUUUCUUUUUUUUAUUUCUAGUCCUGUGAAAUGAAUGUAACUUGGAAAGUAAUUGUAUUAUUUUAGUAUUUUAAAUGUAUUUUAAAAAAUUAUGUUUGUCUUCUUGUAGGAUUUGAACCCUACUCUAAAUCUGGUUCUAGUAUGCACUGGAAACUGAGUUGCAGAAUCUUGGAGAACCCUAGGUCAGAAGGGACACUAGACAUCACCAGAUUCAACCUUCUGCUGAAAGCAAAGACUUGGAUUAGGUUAUUGAGGGCACUGUCAAGCCAAACCUAAAAUAUUUCCACCAACGUAAAUUCUACUUUUGCCCCAGGCAAAACAUUUCUGUAUUUGAGAGUUCUAAUAGUGAGUUUCUUUCUUUAGAACUUCCUCUUAGGCAUCUUGUGUCCACUGCCUAUUGCCCUGCAUCACACAUCUUUGUGAAAUUGGGAUAGAUUCUUCUAUAACAACCAUCCAGUUAUGGAAACACCUGAGCUUUCUCUUUCCCAGGCUGAAUAAACACAAUUCCUUCAGCUUUUCUCCGUACAUCAAGUUCCCCAGCACUCCAACAAUACUGAUGCUCCUGAUCAUCUGCAAUUUUCCAGCAGCUCUUUAGAAAGUUUUCUAUGUUCUUUCAGAAUGUGAAAAUGUAAAUAGGUUGUAUGUAUCAUGAAUUAACGAAAGAAAAUCACAUAAUUUCUUACUGAAAUAUUUCUAUAACUCUGGUGUUUCCCCCAUCCUCCUAUCAUCAUCUGUAAAAAUAGAAAGAUUCCCUAUGUCCUUUCUAAGUCUGUUCUUCUCCAUUGCCUCAGUACACACAGGAUUCAUGUCAUAAUGGUUCCUCUCAGUACUUGCUCACAUUUUAGUCUCCCAUUCUUCACAACACUUUGUCUUACAUGAUGUUUGGGCAAGAGGUGACAUGUGCUGACACUACCCAUAACUGGUUGUACAUUUGCUUCUUUAUUUUCCAAAGAGUACAAAGUGCUUUUCAUUGCAGAGGACUGUUUGCUUGAAGAGACUGAAGGAAUAAGAUGUAUUAUGCUUAGGAGGAGAUUCCUUUCUGAGAUGGCCCUUUAUUGGAUAAGCAUACAAUGACUGGUGAUCCAUGAGAGUCUGAAAGUUAAAGGUUAAAGGUGAGAUGGAGAGAAAACAGGAACAGGCACAUUCAAGACAGAAAGCACCGACUGCCUUCAGAGCAAUUAAGAGAAAUUGUCAGCAAGGGACCAGAAGAAUAAUUCAAGAAACAUGAUGUCACAGGAUAUCUGUGUCUAUGAUACUAAUGAUACUUAUGAUUUAUUGCUCUUGCUGAUGACCUAAAUAAUAUACAGAAACCCUGGGGCAAAAAUGAAAAUCAGAAAAUGGCAGAUGGGAUUCUGUGGGUAGCCUUCUGCAAAACAUUUUUAUUUCAUAUGACUCAGUGCUCAUAUUUAGGGGUAAAAAGUUGUUUUCUGGAUAAUUUAGUAAACUUUGGAAUGAAGUGUUUUUUCUUCACAGUACUUGAUUUCUUUGUUCAACGGGAACUGUUGCAGCUGAAGCUAAGCACAAAAUGUAAUGCCAAUACAUUCGUAGCUUUGUUUCCCAAGACAAUUAAAUGCAUUUGUUUUGUAGUUUUGUCACAAUUUUAAUCCAAAUAUUUAAUCUGGCUUUAUCACAAAGUUGAUAGCUCACAGAGGAAACAAGUAGUGAUCUGGAACUGGAUAAUAAAACCAAAUAACUUGGAAAUAUGCAACGGCGUAAAUCUGGAAUGAGACAAUUUGAUUUAUGAAGAACUGAAGGAUUACACAGAACUUGUUAAUUCCUCCUUAUUAAAGUAGGUCGGUAUGGACAGAAUUACACCACUUUAAUAAGCACAUUAAGUCUGUGAUCUUCAAUGCACAGAGAGUGUGGCACAGAUACACCGUGGUACAAUCUUACAAAGUCAAUACAACCACUGAAAAUGGAGAGCAUGAGCUGUCAUCAAACUCUAAAAGGGGAAAUGAGCUGGAAGGCUGUAAUGAAGAACCAAAGUGUAAAGAUGGAAUUAAAAAAACCCCACGAAACAAAAACAACAACAAAACACAUACACACACAUACACACACACACAAACAGGAUUAUGAUGGCAUAGCACCCAGCAGAAAAAAGGAAGAUUAUAUAGGAUUUCAGGUAUCUGCACAAAGAGCAAUAAUCAGAAUUUUCUGAAUUGUAGGAAAAAACAACAACAGAGGAAAUAGAAGAAGUAUGUGAGGAAAAAAUAGGUAAGAAAAUCUGGCUAAGCCUACUUCAACACUUUCCUAGAUUUAAGCUGUGUAAUUGCAACCACUGUGUUGGUCAGUUAUGUGUAUUUUGUUUAUGAAACCUUGGAGAGUUGGUGCCUACCAAAAUAUCUGAAGACCACUAGUGGAGAGGGAGUGGAUGCACUCCAAAACAAGGAAAGAUUGCUGAAGCCUUUGGGUGAGAAGCUCACAAUACAGAGGAGGAUACAGGGUUAAGUACAUUGGAGACGCGGACCUGAGAUUUAGAGUCAGGCUUCUGCAUGACUGUGAAUAUUUGGCCAUGCCCUUGGGUUGGAUCCAUCUAAUAUUUUCAGCAAAUUAUGUGGUGUGACCUGUGCCCAGAAACCACCAGAGACUCUUGGUAAAAGAAGUUUUCCUGUCUAAAACUGUAGUUACAUAAAGUUUGGCUCUGUGAAACCAGGAUGAAUAAAUGCACUUCUGCAAGCCUCCUGUCUGUAAAAUCCUGGCUGUGCUGGGACUCUGCUGUCCUCCAAAAGGUGCAUUACGAUGCAUGGCCAUGCUGGCAUGUUGAAUGUGCUCAUGUUGAUGCUUCCUGAAAGAGGCAUGUCAUUUGAGAUUUUAGUCUCACAUGCUAAGUAUUUGCAUUCCAUUGCUUGAAACUACCAGGAUUGUGCAUGCGUUCUAUGUAUUUGCAAAAAUAAACAACACUCAUAAUGCUUUUCAGACGCAUAAUCAAUGGGGAGCUCACUGGCUGCAUAAUAUUUUAAAUAUUUUGCAUCAAAUCCAGAGUUCUGAUGUGGUCAGGGACAGUGGGCAGAUUUGUGACUCCACCUGCAGAACUCGUGGUCCAUAAACCUGAGAACAAAGCAUCCUCAUCCAUAUGUAAUUUUAGGUUCCCAUUCCUCCAGGAAUAUUUUCUACCACAUUCCCUCUUAAAUAAUGGAAUGUGAAUAUUGUUCAGUACCAGCUACAAAUAUGUGUUAGAAUUUGCACAAUUUUUAACUCCUUCUUUCAAAUUUCAAAACAGUGCAAAGUGAAAACACUUGUGGAAAACAAAGCAAGACUUUCUUGGAUGUGAUAUAACUCCCAGUUAAAAGAAAGUAGUAUCACCCAGUGAUACUGCAGAAUAAUCUCACCUUUGUUGUGCAACCUUUACUUCACUGAGCAUCAAUAAUACUUGACAAAAUUCCCGUGAGCCUGAUUCAAGCCUUGGGUCACGUACAUUAAAUCAUAUGGAAAUCUGCUAAGUUACACUAUGGUCAAAAUCUUAGUAAGAUAAGGG